UAGGGAAUCUUCCACAAUGGGCGAAAGCCUGAUGGAGCAACGCCGCGUGUGUGAUGAAGGGUUUCAGCUCGUAAAACACUGUUGUAAGAGAAGAAUGACAUUGAGAGUAACUGUUCAAUGUGUGACGGUAUCUUACCAGAAAGGAACGGCUAAAUACGUGCCAG
rnacentral:rRNA from 1 species